CUCCUCUCUCUCUCUCUCUCCCUUCUAUAAAAGUCUGCAUAUAGCCGACCCUAUUCCCUUAAAAUCCAACAGAAAAUAAAUGCACGUACGUACCACGAAAUAAUAAUAAUAAAACUAUAGUAAUAUAAAAGAGAAAGAGAAAAACAGAAACAAAACCUUGUGAUUUACGUUAUCCUUAUAACUUUAGCCUGCUGCUUGAAUAUAUGUCCUUGACUUUUUGUUUCCUCAGUAGCCCCUCUUAACUCUUUAACUGAAUAUUUAGCCUUCUCCUGCAAAAAUAAAAUAAAAAUUAACCUGAUUUUAUUUCUUAUACGGACUAGAGAAUUGGUUCAAAAUAUAUAAAAUAACUUAACUUCUAUACACUGAUUUUAUGAAAAAAAUUAAUCACCUAAAUGUUAAAUGACAUAUAGUCGUCCAUAAUAAAUGAUAGUGUGAAAAAUCUUCACUAUCUGUGCAUAUAGGUUGAACAAAUCAUCAGAUUAUAGUAGAGAAGAUCAUAUGCAGAUUUGACCUGAAGUGAAAUUUAUGAAAUGGGUAAGAAACAAAUCUUUGACUUUGAAGCAAAAGGAGCAGUUGGAGCAGUAAAAUCAAGCAAAAGAAGUAGAUAAGACAGGUAAAAAAUAAAUAAUGUUAAUUUGAUCUUUGAAUAGUUGAGAAGUGAAUAGUUACCCAAAAAACUUCAAGAUUUGGUUUCUAACAAACAUAAGAAGAGAGCUGGAAAUUUUCACUUAAAAUGAGUAGAAGAAAGUGUAGAAGAAGCUUGAAUAGAAGUGAAACCAAAUAAUCCAAGAUUUGAUUUUUUAGAAAAAGAGCAAGGCCAGGAAAAAGCAAACAAAAGCAGUUCAAAAUUAUCUUUUUAAGAAAACAGAGAAGAGCAAAACGAAACCUUUUUAUAGAAACCACUUUGCUGGAAAAUGCGAGUCUUGAAAAUGUGUUUGGUCGACGAGAAAAGCAAAAGGAAUGAAGGAGAGAGGAGUUUAUAGAAACGAGUUUUGGGAAUAAAUAGAGUUUUGGGAAGUCAAAUAAUACUCUUUCUCAUUUCUUAUACACUCAAACAUCUCUAUAAUAUUCUCAUUUGUCACAAUAUUAACUGUUAAUAUUAUAAAAGAUAUAUAUUCUAACAUAACACAAAAAUCGAUUUUCAGAAAAAAUUAACUUUUAUAUAAUAACUAUUAUAUAAGAAUACUGUUGUAAAAAAUAUAUAAAAAAAUCUAACUUUUAUAUAAUAACUAUUAUAUAAGAAUAGUGUUGUAGACAGUAUGUGAAAGUAUCCAACUAAACACGAGUUUAACUAAAAUCAGACUUCUGAAACAUACCAAAAAUAGUGAAAUAAUUGAGUUGUGCAUAAAUUGAUCUGAAUAUCUUCGUUAUUAAAAGAAGUUACCGAAAGUAUCUAUAAAUUUUUUAAAUUUCAUACCGUGUGAAACUAUAAAUUAAACGGAGAAAAUAUUUUAAUUUGGGCAUUGGGAAUAUAAUGUGUAAGAUGUGUGAUUAAGAUUAAACAAAUGGAAAUGAACUCUGAAUACAGAAAACAAAGUUGCACACUCGCUCACAACCUUUAAGGAAAAAAGAGAACUUUCAUCGAAAGAAAAGAGAAGCUAAAGACUAAAAAAGAGCUUUAAGCAUGCAGUUAACAAAAUGUAUUUUUUUUCAUAGUUAGCAGGCUUUUGAAUGUUUAAUACAAAAAACAAUGAAGAUUAAAAAUAGAAAAAGAAUUAAAUAAAGAAAUGACUAAAGAUAGGUAAAGAUUCCAUACUAGCUCUUUUGAUUAUUUGAAUGUUUGUUUUCUGCAAAAGGGUCUGUUUGCUUUUUUUCUCUUUAACUUUGUUGCAGAUCUGAGGACACAAAUAUAGAGAUUGCAGAGUUGUUUAUUCGCCGGAAAUAUAGUCGGAAAAUGAAUAAGAAUUAAGAUUCAAAAAUGUGUAAAAAAGUGAGAGCAAAAGGCAAGAAGUAGGAUUUUUUAUAAUUAAAGAAGUGGUGGUGGUGGCUAUGAAUUAAAACACUUUUAAAAUUGAGUCUAUAGAGGACUAAAUUCAACUCCCAAAUCAAGAAAACAUGCGUGGCUGUAGUAAUUGCAAAAUAAU
rnacentral:lncRNA from 1 species